AGCGAACGCUGGCGGCAGGCCUAACACAUGCAAGUCGAACGAACUCUUCGUAGUUAGUUGCUGACGGGUGAGUAACACGGGGGAACGUGCCUUUUGGCUCGGGAUAACUCAGGGUAAUUUGGGCUAAUACCGAAUGAGUCCCUCUGGUGAAACAUUGGACGCCAUUGUAGCGGCCCGAGUCUGAUGAGCCUGCUGGUGAUGUAAGAGCUCACCAAGGCGUCGCUCAGUAGCGGGUUUGAGAGGAUGACCAGCGACACUGGGACUGAGCAACGGCCCAGAAUCCUACGGGAGGCAGCAGAGGCGAAUCCUGCGAAAUGGGGGGAAGGAUGACGGAGCCAGGGCGCGUGAAUGAUGAAGGUCUUAGGAUUGUAAAAUUCUUUCACCGGGGACGAUAAUGACGGUACCCGGAGAAGAAGCCCCGGCUAACUUCGUG
rnacentral:rRNA from 1 species